UACAGAGGGUGCAAGCGUUGUUCGGAAUUAUUGGGCGUAAAGGGCGCGUAGGCGGUGCGGUAAGUCUGCGGUGAAAUCUCCCGGCUCAACUGGGGAGGGUCACGCGAUACUGAUCGACUCGAAGGCAGGAGAGGGUAGUGGAAUUCCCGGUGUAGUGGUGAAAUGCGUAGAUAUCGGGAGGAACACCAGUGGCGAAGGCGACUACCUGGCCUGUUCUUGACGCUGAGGCGCGAAAGCUAGGGGAGCAAACAGG
rnacentral:rRNA from 1 species